AUCGAAUCUUUGAACGCAUCUUGCGCCCCUUGGCAUUCCGAGGGGCACACCCGUUUGAGCGUCGUGAAACUCUCAACCCUUCUCCCUUUCUUGUUGAACCGGGAGGAUGGCUUGGACUUUGGAGGCUUCUGCCGGUCUCAUCCCUCUUAGAACCGGCUCCUCUUAAAGAAAUUAGUGGGGUCUCAUUUGCCGAUCCUUGACGUGAUAAUAUUUGACGUCUUUUUUUGAGAGGCAGAGAGACCUUGCUUCCAAUGGUCUCAUUCAGGGACACCAGUGAGAUCAAAGAUCCCACUAAACCCCCAUUGACCUCAAAUCGGGUGAGACUACCCGCUGAACUUAAGCAUAUC
rnacentral:rRNA from 1 species